rnacentral:rRNA from 1 species
CCUACGGGAGGCAGCAGUGGGGAAUAUUGGGCAAUGGGCGCAAGCCUGACCCAGCAACGCCGCGUGAAGGAAGAAGGCUUUCGGGUUGUAAACUUCUUUUCUGGGGGACGAACAUGUGACUGUACCCCAUGUAUAAGCCACCUCUAACUACGUGCCAGCAGCCGCGGUAAUACGGAGGUGGCAAGCGUUAUCCGGAUUUAUUGGGUGUAGAGUGCGUGGAGGCGGGAUUGCAAGUCAGAUGUGAAAACUAUGGGCUCAACCAAAAGCCUGCAUUUGAAACUGUAUUUCUUGAGUGCUGGAGAGGUAGUCGGAAUUCUGGGUGUAGCGGUAAAAUGCGUAGAUAUCCAGAGGAGCACUAGUGGCGAAGGCGAACUGCUGGAACAUUACUGACGCUGAUGCGCGAAAGCGUGGGGAGCAAACAGGAUUAGAUACCCCAGUAGUC